GAGCAACCGCCGGUGGUACGGGUAUCAUUGAUGUUGAUAAAUUCAAAAUUUUUUUUGUUGCUUU
rnacentral:tRNA from 1 species